rnacentral:rRNA from 1 species
CGCGUAGGCGGCAUUGUAAGUCAGAUGUGAAAGUCCAGGGCUCAACCCUGGAAGUGCAUCUGAAACUGCAAAGCUUGAGUAUUGGAGAGGAAAGUGGAAUUCCCGGUGUAGAGGUGAAAUUCGUAGAUAUCGGGAGGAAUACCGGAGGCGAAGGCGACUUUCUGGACAAAUACUGACGCUGAGGCGCGAAAGCGUGGGGAGCAAACAGGAUUAGAUACCCUGGUAGUCC